rnacentral:rRNA from 1 species
UGGGGAAUAUUGGACAAUGGGCGCAAGCCUGAUCCAGCCAUGCCGCGUGAGUGAUUAAGGCCCUAGGGUUGUAAAGCUCUUUCACCGGUGAAGAUAAUGACGGUAACCGGAGAAGAAGCCCCGGCUAACUUCGUGCCAGCAGCCGCGGUAAUACGAAGGGGGCUAGCGUUGUUCGGAUUUACUGGGCGUAAAGCGCACGUAGGCGGACUAUUAAGUCAGGGGUGAAAUCCCGGGGCUCAACCCCGGAACUGCCUUUGAUACUGGUAGUCUUGAGUUCGAGAGAGGUGAGUGGAAUUCCGAGUGUAGAGGUGAAAUUCGUAGAUAUUCGGAGGAACACCAGUGGCGAAGGCGGCACACUGGCUCGAUACUGACGCUGAGGUGCGAAAGCGUGGGGAGCAAACAGG